CGUAGGCAGCGAGCGUUGUUCGGAGUUACUGGGCGUAAAGGGUGUGUAGGCGGUUGUUUAAGUUUGGUGUGAAAUCUCCCGGCUCAACUGGGAGGGUGCGCCGAAUACUGAAUGACUUGGAGUGCGGGAGAGGUGAGUGGAAUUCCUGGUGUAGCGGUGAAAUGCGUAGAUAUCAGGAGGAACACCGGUGGUGUAGACGGCCCACUGGACCGUAACUGACGCUGAGACACGAAAGCGUGGGUAGCAAACAGGAUUAGAUACCCUGGUAGUCCACGCCCUAAACGAUGCAUAUUUGGUGUGGGCAGUUCAUUCUGUCCGUGCCGGAGCUAACGCGUUAAAUAUGCCGCCUGGGGAGUACAGUCGCAAGGCUG
rnacentral:rRNA from 1 species